rnacentral:rRNA from 1 species
UAGGCUGCAACUCGCCUACACGAAGUUGGAAUUGCUAGUAAUCGUGGAUCAGCAUGCCACGGUGAAUACGUUCCCGGGUCUUGUACACACCGCCCGUCACACCAUGAGAGUCGGGAACACCCGAAGUCCGUAGUCUAACCGCAAGGGGGGCGCGGCCGAAGGUGGGUCCGGUAAUUGGGGUGAAGUCGUAACAAGGUAGC